rnacentral:rRNA from 1 species
GAUGAACGCUAGCUACAGGCUUAACACAUGCAAGUCGAGGGGGAACGAUGAGAGAGCUUGCUCUCUUAGUCGUCGACCGGCGCACGGGUGAGUAACGCGUAUCCAACCUGCCUCUGACCAAGGGAUAACCCGUCGAAAGUCGGACUAAUACCUUAUGCAGUCGUCGGAAGUCAUCUGAUGACGACGAAAGAUUUCAUCGGUGAGAGAUGGGGAUGCGUCUGAUUAGCUUGUUGGCGGGGUAACGGCCCACCAAGGCGACGAUCAGUAGGGGUUCUGAGAGGAAGGUCCCCCACAUUGGAACUGAGACACGGUCCAAACUCCUACGGGAGGCAGCAGUGAGGAAUAUUGGUCAAUGGGCGUAAGCCUGAACCAGCCAAGUAGCGUGCAGGAUGACGGCCCUAUGGGUUGUAAACUGCUUUUAUGCGGGGAUAAAGUGAGGGACGUGUCCUUCAUUGCAGGUACCGCAUGAAUAAGAACCGGCUAAUUCCGUG